rnacentral:tRNA from 1 species
GUGACAGUAGCUUAGUGGUAGAGCAUCUGCUUCGCACGCAGGGAGACAUUGGUUCGAUUCCCGGCUGCCAUG